GAUAAACGCUAGCGGCAGGCUUAACACAUGCAAGUCGAGGGGCAGCAUAGAUUGUAGCAAUACAAUUGGUGGCGACCGGCGCACGGGUGCGUAACGCGUAUGCAACCUACCCGUCACAGGGGGAUAAUCCGGAGAAAUCUGGUCUAAUACCCCAUAACAUAUGGAUCGGCAUCGGUUCAUGUUGAAAUUUUCGGAGGUGACGGAUGGGCAUGCGUAGCAUUAGCUUGUUGGUGAGGUAACGGCUCACCAAGGCGACGAUGCUUAGGGGGACUGAGAGGUUUUCCCCCCACACUGGUACUGAGACACGGACCAGACUCCGACGGGAGGCAGCAGUGAGGAAUAUUGGUCAAUGGGCGCAAGCCUGAGCCAGCCAUGCCGCGUGCAGGAUGACGGCUCUAUGAGUUGUAAACUGCUUUUGUACGAGGGUAAAGUGGGUUACGUGUAACCUUUUGAAAGUAUCGUACGAAUAAGGAUCGGCUAACUCCGUGCCAGCCGCCGCGGUAA
rnacentral:rRNA from 1 species